GUGUCCUCAGGUGCAGCUGGUACAAUCUGGCCAGGGAGCGGUGAAGCCCGGAGACACCUUCACACUGACCUGCGCGGUCUCGAGUCACUCCAUCACCAGUGGUUACUAUUGGAGCUGGGUCCGGCAACCUCCCGGGACAGGGCUGGAGUGGCUGGGACGGGGAUAUUACAGCAGUUCCACCUGGAACACGAAUUACGGCUCAUCCUUCCAGAGCCAAAUCACCAUCUCCAUUGACUCCUCCAAGAGCCAGUUCUCCCUGCAGCUCCGCUUGCUGACAGCUGCAGACACCACCACCUAUUACUGCGCCAGGGACCGAAAAAAAGGGGGAAGAGAAGCCUGCCCAGACAUCUACAACGCUUUUAUUUAUCUGUCUAGAAAAGCAGGAGAUCUUUCCGCUAGAUGGCACUAA